rnacentral:rRNA from 1 species
GGGUUAACCGGGACGGAAGGUGGGGAUGACGUCAAGUCAUCAUGGCCCUUACGCCUAGGGCUACACACGUACUACAAUGGUGGGUACAAAGGGCAGCAAACCGCGAGGUCGAGCGAAUCUCAAAAAACCCAUCAUAGUCCGGAUUGCAGUCUGCAACUCGACUGCAUGAAGUUGGAAUCGCUAGUAAUCCCGGAUCAGCAUGCCGGGGUGAAUACGUUCCCGGGCCUU